rnacentral:tRNA from 1 species
GUUAAUUUGGCAGAAAAAUUGUGUCAAAUUUAGAAUUUGAGUAUGGGCAACCAAUUAGCA